rnacentral:rRNA from 1 species
GACGAACGCUGGCGGCGUGCCUAAUACAUGCAAGUUGAGCGAUGAAGAUUGGUGCUUGCACCAAUUUGAAGAGCAGCGAACGGGUGAGUAACGCGUGGGGAAUCUGCCUUUGAGCGGGGGACAACAUUUGGAAACGAAUGCUAAUACCGCAUAACAACUUUAAACAUAAGUUUUAAGUUUGAAAGAUGCAAUUGCCUCACUCAAAGAUGAUCCCGCGUUGUCUUAGGUAAUUGGUGAGGUAAAGGCUCAACAAGGCGAAGAUACAUAACCGAACUGAGAGGGGGGUCGGCCCCAAUGGGAAUGAGACAAGGCCCAAAACCCUAAGGGAGGGAGGAGGAGGGAAACUUCGGCAAUGGGCGGAAGGCUGGACGGAGAACGGCGGGGGGGGGAAGAAGGUUUUCGGGUUGGAAAACUCUUUUGGUAGGGAAGAAAGAUGGGGAGAGGGAAAAGCGCACGAAGUGACGGUAACUACUCAGAAAGCGACGGCUAACUACGUG